rnacentral:misc_RNA from 1 species
CACCUUAAAAGGAUCAGUGGAUCUAUUGUCUUGGACUUUUGCAUUGCAAUUGGUUUGACUUGGCGUAAUAAGUAUUUCGCUAAGGACAGUGCUUCGGUGCUGGCCAUUGCUUUUCAACCGGACUUUGGAAAUCUGCUUUCAAACCCUAAAUUUAUUUGACAUCUGGCCUCAAAUCAGGUAGGACUACCCGCUGAACUUAA